rnacentral:rRNA from 1 species
CAGCCGCCGCGGUAAUACGAAGGGGGCUAGCGUUGCUCGGAAUGACUGGGCGUAAAGGGCGCGUAGGCGGUCACGAUAGUCAGAUGUGAAAUUCCUGGGCUUAACCUGGGGACUGCAUUUGAUACUGUGUGGCUUGAGUGUGGAAGAGGGUCGUGGAAUUCCCAGUGUAGAGGUGAAACUCGUAGAUAUUGGGAAGAACACCGGUGGCGAAGGCGGCGACCUGGUCCUUGACUGACGCUGAGGCGCGAAAGCGUGGGGAGCAAACAGGAUUAGAGACCCCCGUAGUCCCUGUCUCUUAUAC